rnacentral:lncRNA from 1 species
CCCCUUCACCAGUUGACCCGACCCGGCUGCAAUCAAUCUUGCAAUACUACUACUAUAAUCCUCAACAUUCGGAGCCAAAGUAGUCCAAUAAGCAGCAGAACUCCUCUCCAUAUCUUCCUUUUUCUUCUCCAUUUCUUCUGGUGACACAUCCUUUGCUGCCAUCCACCAUUUUUCUUCAACUCCUUUAUUAUCCUUCUUCACUUUCUCCACUCUAAAAGCACUAUACUUUUCCAAUACUAAAUCUAACUCCUUUAGUACCUUUUCUUGUCCUUUUGAUGCUAUAGUUAAACCAUAGUUGAGUAAAUUAUCUUCAUCAUUUGCUUCAGAAGGGAUUCUAAGAGUGAAGAAAUAGUGAGAUUCAUCAAGUUUUAUAGCAGCCUCAUCUUUGGCUAAAGGCCAUUGGAU